CAGCCGUAAACUAUGCGCGUUAGGUGUAUCGGUGACCACGAGUUACCGAGGUGCCGAAGGGAAACCGUGAAACGUGCCGCCUGGGAAGUACGGUCGCAAGGCUGAAACUUAAAGGAAUUGGCGGGGGAGGCACCACAACACGGUGGAGCCUGCGGUUUAAUUGGACUCAACGCCGGGAAGCUCACCGGAUAGGACAGCAGAAUGAUUGCCGGGCUGAAGACCCUGCAUGACUAGCUGAGAGGAGGUGCAUGGCGUCAGUGACU
rnacentral:rRNA from 1 species